CAACCUACAAGGUCUUUGUGGGCCUUGUUAGGCUUGGAUAUUGGAGGAUAUAAUUGUCGGCAUGAGUCGGCUCCUCUUAAAUGCAUUAGCUUGGUCCUUUGUGGAUCGGCUCUCGGUGUGAUAAGUUGUUUAUGCCGUGACCGUGAAGCAUUUUCUAUGGGAAGGAGCUUAUAA
rnacentral:misc_RNA from 2 species